GUCUAUGGCCAUGCCACCCUGAACAAGCCUGAUGUCUAAUCUCGGAAGCUAAGCAGGGUUGGGCCUGGUUGGUACUUGGCUAGGAGACCACCUAGGAAGACCAGGUGCUGUAGGCA
rnacentral:rRNA from 1 species